GGGGUUGUGGCUCAGUGGUAGAGCACUUGCCUAGCAUGUGUGCAGCCCUGGGUUCAAUCCUCAGCACCA
rnacentral:tRNA from 1 species